GAUGAACGCUGGCGGCGUGCUUAACACAUGCAAGUCGAACGGAAAGGCUCCUGCUUGCAGGGGUACUCGAGUGGCGAACGGGUGAGUAACACGUGGGUGAUCUGCCCUGCACUUCGGGAUAGGCCUGGGAAACUGGGGCUAAUACCGGAUAGGAGCACAUUCUGCAUGGUGUGGUGGAAAGUUUUUCGGUGUGGGAUGAGCCCGCGGCCUAUCAGCUUGUUGGUGGGGUAAUGGCUUACUAAGGGGCCGACGGGUGGCAGGCCUGGGAGGGGGUACGGCAAAAUGGGACCGGGGUACCGGCCCAGACCCUUACGGGGGGCAGAGGUGGGGAUUAUGGAACAUGGGGCGCAGGCCGAUGGCAGCGCGGCGGCGUGGGGGAGGACGGCCUUCGGUUUGUAAACUCCUUUCGCUGGGGACGAGGCGCAGGUGCCGGUACCGGGAGAAGAAGCACCGGCAACCUACGU
rnacentral:rRNA from 1 species